rnacentral:rRNA from 1 species
AUAUCGCGACGUAGUUUGAUCAGUGGCUCGAGGACAACGCUGGCGGCGUGCCUAACACAUGCAAGUCGAACGGGACUUAGUAGAAAGCGGCUUCGGCCAAUGGAAGCUAAGUUUAGUGGCGAACGGGUGAGUAACGCGUGAGAAACCUGCCUUUCAGUGGGGGACAACAGUUGGAAACGACUGCUAAUACCGCAUAAUGUGCCGGGAGGGCAUCCUCCUGGUACCAAAGCUUAAUGUGCUGAAAGAUGGUCUCGCGUCUGAUUAGCUAGAUGGCGGGGUAACGGCCCACCAUGGCGACGAUCAGUAGCCGGUCUGAGAGGAUGAACGGCCACAUUGGGACUGAGAUACGGCCCAGACUCCUACGGGAGGCAGCAGUGGGGAAUAUUGGGCAAUGGGGGAAACCCUGACCCAGCAACGCCGCGUGAAGGAAGAAGGCCUUCGGGUUGUAAACUUCUUUUAGUAGGGACGAAGAACGUGACGGUACCUACAGAAAAAGCAACGGCUAACUACGUG